rnacentral:lncRNA from 1 species
CAAGAACUACUUGUUUCCUCUACAAGAGGUUUCCCAGUCAAUGGGAUUUGAAGUAUAAUUCCCAGCUCCAGCAGCUUGAUAUCACAUCAAUAGGCCUUUUGGCCCAAUUACUUCUUGUGAAAUCAAAGUUCAAACAGACUACAGAGAGUCAUGCAAACAGCAAGAUGUUAUCCAGCUGUGGGCACAGAUGUGGUAAAGGUAACAAAGCUAAUAAUAAUGCAGAAAACAUUGAGGAUGUCAUCUGAUUUUGGUUUGGGACUAAUGAGGGGAAAAUGGCUAAUGAGAUAUUUAUCACCUUCACAGACCCAUGGAGGAUCCAAAAAGUCAUUAAUCUCGUAUUACUCCUGCUGCUGUCCAUAUCGAUAGGUCCCAUGGAAGCUGGGGAGCCCCUUCAGCAUGCCAAAAAGCCCAACACCACAGCAGGAAAAUCCACGGCAAGGUGCUGGUUUCUCCUUACCCAGCUGCCUCCUGCAUCCCUGGGCUCCAGCAUCUGCCGCGGGCAGGCGGCCGGGCGACUCCAUCCCCUUGGCGACCCAUGGGACCACAGGGGACACGAGCCGAAACACACUGAACCUUGAAACUAAAGAAGCCUCAAACCUGUCAUUAAAGCAGCUGCAUUGGCAAUAAAUUUAGUAUUUAAAGAAGUUCGUCGACUGUU